UACGAAGGGGGCUAGCGUUGCUCGGAAUCACCGGGCGUAAAGCGCACGUAGGCGGCUUUCUAAGUCAGGGGUGAAAUCCUGGAGCUCAACUCCAGAACUGCCUUUGAUACUGGAGAGCUUGAGUCCGGGAGAGGUGAGUGGAACUCCGAGUGUAGAGGUGAAAUUCGUAGAUAUUCGGAAGAACACCAGUGGCGAAGGCGGCUCACUGGCCCGGUACUGACGCUGAUGUGCGAAAGCGUGGGGAGCAAACAGGG
rnacentral:rRNA from 1 species